rnacentral:rRNA from 1 species
GAUGAACGCUGGCGGCGUGCCUAAUACAUGCAAGUCGAGCGAACAGACGAGGAGCUUACUCCUCUGGCGUUAGCGGCGGACGGGUGAGUAACACGUGGAUAACCUACCUAUAAGACUGGGAUAACUUCGGGAAACCGGAGCUAAUACCGGAUAACAUGUUGAACCGCAUGGUUCAACAGUGAAAGACGGUCUUGCUGUCACUUAUAGAUGGAUCCGCGUCGCAUUAGCUAGUUGGUAAGGUAACGGCUUACCAAGGCAACGAUGCGUAGCCGACCUGAGAGGGUGAUCGGCCACACUGGAACUGAGACACGGUCCAGACUCCUACGGGAGGCAGCAGUAGGGAAUCUUCCGCAAUGGGCGAAAGCCUGACGGAGCAACGCCGCGUGGGUGAAGAAGGUCUUCGGAUCGUAAAACUCUGUUAUUAGGGAAGAACAAAUGUGUAAGUAACUAUGCACGUCUUGACGGUACCUAAUCAGAAAGCCACGGCUAACUACGUG